GUGAAUCAUCGAAUUUUUGAACGCAAAUUGCACUCUCUUCGGAGAGUAUGCCUGUUUGAGGGUCAGCCUAAAAAAAAAAUCGACAUAGUCGUUGUUUCGCGUUGACAUUCUUCGGAAUUUGGUUAAUUUUAAACCUUUGGGUUUUAAGCGGCUUAAAAUUUUUUUUACGUUUCCACGAACUUUUCUAAGUUUUACUUCUUUUAGGUUUAAGGUAU
rnacentral:misc_RNA from 1 species